ACUAUCAUUUCUACACUUGGGAUAAGAAGCAAUUCACUUACCUUUUUGAAUCUGGCCAUUUGACAAUGGAGCAUAGGUUUAAAAGUGUAGUGAAGAAACAAUGGGAAAACAUUUGGUUUCUGUGGCAACAAAGGACAACAGACAGUGAAGCCCUGAAAAGUGUGCAUGAAGACAUGAGAUUUGGUCAACUGUCAAAACAAGGAUGUACCGGACACCACCCUCAGUAUGCCACAGCACUGUACAAACUCACAAGAAUUUUUACCUGAAAGGAUUGGCCUACACUGACCCCAGAGCAGCAGCUUCUGUGAGGAGCCUGGACC
rnacentral:lncRNA from 1 species